rnacentral:lncRNA from 1 species
UUUCGAAAAAGCUGAAACAGCUUCCUCCCAAAAGCUCCAAAUUGCAGCUUCCUCCCAAAAGCUGUUUUCAGCUUCCCGCAAAAGCUGAAACAGCUUUUUGAAAAAUUUACCAAACACAGUUUUUCAUCUAAAAGUACUUUUGGAGGGCCAGAAAGUGCUUUCUGGCCCUCCAAAAGCUCCCCCAAACAGGGCCUUAUUCUCUUGGGGAUAGUUUCUUUGGUUUUGUAAGCUUGUUCAUUUGCGAACUGUAUUGUGAAUAGGACAGAUGGCACAGGACACAGAUCUUCAGAGACAGUCGCUGAAGAAAGGUGAAUGGGUUCGACUGAGCGAUUUUGACUUGGAUCUUCAAGGAUUGUGCUAUGGCCCAGUCUAGUCUCGGGUUUGGCAAGAAAUUAACCUUGUGCAAACUGUAUAGCAGUCCUGAAUGGCAGCAGCGGGCCUGGAACUUCAGGGAUUGUGCCUUUGCCAAAUCUGAUCUCAGUUGUGGCAAGCACUGUACACACGGUCCAACAGCCAUGAACGACGGUAUUGCGAGGAGCGGACGGUGAAGGAACGCAAGUGAUCAAUUCGAUGAGGAAAAUUAUUCAGAAGUCCCUGUGCAAACAAUGUGGGGUAAUGCGUACAUGGCACUGAGGUGGCAGAAAGAGAAAAUUAUGCAUUU